AUUGAACGCUGGCGGCAUGCCUUACACAUGCAAGUCGAACGGCAGCGCGGACUUCGGUCUGGCGGCGAGUGGCGAACGGGUGAGUAAUGUAUCGGAACGUACCAUUCAGUGGGGGAUAACGCAGCGAAAGUUGCGCUAAUACCGCAUAUUCUGUGCGCAGGAAAGCAGGGGAUCGCAAGACCUUGCGCUGAUUGAGCGGCCGAUAUCAGAUUAGCUAGUUGGUGAGGUAAAGGCUCACCAAGGCGACGAUCUGUAGCGGGUCUGAGAGGAUGAUGCGCCACACUGGGACUGAGACACGGUCCCGACUCCUACGGGAGGCAGCAGUGGGGAAUUUUGGACAAUGGGCGCAAGCCUGAUCCAGCCAUGCCGCGUGAGUGAAGAAGGCCUUCGGGUUGUAAAGCUCUUUCGGCCGGGAAGAAAUCGUAUGGGUUAAUACCCUGUGCGGAUGACGGUACCGGCAUAAGAAGCACCGGCUAACUACGUGCCAGCCGCCGCGGUAACAC
rnacentral:rRNA from 1 species